AGAGUUUGAUCCUGGCUCAGGACGAACGCUGGCGGCGUGCUUAACACAUGCAAGUCGAACGAGGGCCCGGAGCUUGCUCUGGUGACCCGAGUGGCGGACGGGUGAGUAACACGUGACCAAUCUACCUUUGGGAGGGGGACAACCCGGGGAAACCUGGGCUAAUACCGCAUAUCGUCCACGGGUCGCAUGGCCUGUGGAUAAAAGGGAGCCUCUGCUUGCAUGCUCCCACCCGAAGAGGAGGUCGCGGCGUAUCAGCUAGUUGGUGGGGUAACGGCCUACCAAGGCAUCGACGCGUAGCGGGUCUGAGAGGACGACCCGUCACAUUGGGACUGAGAUACGGCCCAGACUCCUACGGGAGGCAGCAGUGGGGAAUAUUGCGCAAUGGCCGAAAGGCUGACGCAGCGACGCCGCGUGUGGGAGGACGCCCUUCGGGGUGUAAACCACUGUCAGGGGGGAAGAACUUCGUAGGUGCGAAUAGUGCUUACGGUUGACGGUACCCCCAGAGGAAGCGCCGGCUAACUCCGUGCCAGCAGCCGCGGUAAGACGGAGGGCGCAAGCGUUGUUCGGAAUUACUGGGCGUAAAGGGCAGGUAGGUGGUCUGUUAAGUCUUCUGUGAAAAUCCGGGGCUCAACCCCGUGAAAUGCAGGUGAAACUGGCAGACUUGAGACCGGUAGAGGCUAGCGGAAUUCCUGGUGUAGC
rnacentral:rRNA from 1 species